AUAAACAUUUAUUAUGUUAUAUCAUCAGGGUAAUGAUCCACCAACCUGCUGCCUCUUUUUAUGAGGCACAAACGGGAGAAUUUAUCUUGGAAGCGGAAGAACUACUAAAGCUGCGUGAAACCUCUGACUGCAUUUUCCAACUGAAAUGGAAUAUUACUACCGAAAUUGCAUUAUACAUCCAGAAUAGCCCUAAGAAGACAGUAUCCCAAGCGGAUACUUGGCAUGUCCCCCUUCUUCCCGGCCCACGAGUAGAACAAUACUACGUUAUUUCCAAUGCUUGUAUUAGUUUUAUUUACGUUGUUCGUUGGGGCCGUAGGAAUUCCAUUAUUCAAUCAGGAAGGAAUGGAUUUGGAUAUACUAUCCAAAUUCUUAAGUUUGUCUAUAAACCUUUUACAUAAAAAUAGAAACCAUUCUAUGGAUUGGUAUGAAUUUAUCAAAAAUGCAACCUUUUCCGUUAGUAUAGCUUAUUUCAGAAUUCUUAUAUCGUCUUUUUUAUAUAAGCCUGUUUAUUCAUCUUUACAAAAUUUAAAUUAAUUUAAUUCUUUUGUUAGAAGUAUUCCUAAUAAAAUUAAAAUUUUGGGGGGUAAAAUAAUAAAUGUGAUAUAUAAUUGGUCAUAUAAUCGUGGUUACAUAUAUUUUUUUUUUUAUGUAAUAUCCUUUACUAAAGGUAUAAGAAGAUUUUGAUGGAAUUACAAAUAGAGUCGGUAUUGCGAGUUUUUUCGUAGGAGAGGUUAUCAAAUAUGUAGGGGGUGGUCGAAUUUCUUCUUAUCUUUUAGUGUAUGUAUCCUAUGUAUUAAUUUAUUAUUAUUAUUUUUUAAAUAUUUCUAACUUUGAAUUUUCUUGUUCUUGAUUCCCAUCCAGAUAAUAAGUUUCAUAAACGGGUCUAUUUUUAUAGCGUGUCUCUUUAAAGUGGAAUUGAUUCUUUUUUUUUUCCUUUCCAUUCACUCGUAUCUCUUUCGUUUCAUCGAUUUUGUACGGAUCCUCCUUUUCUUCCGAAAAAAGGGAAGGGGAAGGAUCUUCUUCGGUGGAUCCCUCUUGUUCCUGUUUAGUCCCCUUCGUUUCGGAAGUUGUUUCUAUUUCUACAUCUGUUUCUUCCGUUUCUUUCAGUUUCUUAGUAACAAUGGGUGACAGUAUUCUGCCUAAAUAGUAGACACUGGUAGAUGUAGAAUCUAUGUUGAAUCACCAUUUAGCAUGGCUACUAGGCCUUGGUUCUCUUUCUUGGGCGGGACAUCAAGUACACGUAUCUUUACCAAUUAACCAAUUUCUAAACGCUGGAGUAGAUCCUAAA